ensembl:rRNA 5S_rRNA 5S ribosomal RNA
GCUUAUGGCCAUACCAGCCGAAGAACGCCCGGUCUCGUCUGAUCUCGGAAGCUAAGAAGGCUUGGGCCUGGUCAGUACUUGGAUGGGAGACUGCCUGAGAAUACCAGGUGCUGUAAGCU